rnacentral:rRNA from 1 species
UACGGAGGGUGCAAGCGUUAAUCGGAAUUACUGGGCGUAAAGCGUGCGCAGGCGGUUUGUUAAGUCUGUUGUGAAAUCCCCGAGCUCAACUUGGGAAUUGCAAUGGAUACUGGCAAGCUGGAGUAUGGUAGAGGAAGGUGGAAUUCCCGGUGUAGCAGUGAAAUGCGUAGAGAUCGGGAGGAACACCAGUGGCGAAGGCGGCCUUCUGGACCAAUACUGACGCUCAUGCACGAAAGCGUGGGGAGCAAAAAGG